rnacentral:sRNA from 1 species
AGUCCCUGCAUUGCGCGCGACCCGGCGGCGGGACAGGCUUGCUGCUUCCUCCUCCUCGGCCUCACCAGUGGUGUCUAUGAAUCCCUGAGAUUGGAAAAGGAGGUCAGCACAGAGAAAGGCCUUACCCCACCACUCUCCCGAGAGGCACCAGCAUUUCACCUGCAGCCUCUGGGCUCUGAACCCCACUUUGCAUGAGACCACAUAGUGGGCUGAGUCUGCAGCCACCACGAUGCCUUCAGGAAAUGCUAGAAUUCAUCUAGAGUUCCAGAUUAAC